AUUAUACUGUUUAUCAGAACGCAAUUCCUGAACAGCGUUAGGGUUUUGCAAGAAAGUGACGAGAGGAGCGGCGGCAUCUUCCAAAGCUUUGAGACGAGCGACAACUUCGACUCUCCUCUCGACCAUGUCCUGAGGGACAUCAUCGGUGCGGUAAAGGCUCUUAUGGAUAUCCAUAGCGUAAUCGACCAUGUUUGUCUUGUUCAAAAGCUCAAUCUUUGCUUUCAAGAUCUGUUCAUCUGGGUAUAGUUGUCGCUCUUGCAAGAACUCCAGCAAUGGAAACACUAAGUGCCUGUCUAGGUUCGGGCCGAUACGUGGGGUUAGAUCGUAAGUAGCCAUUGCCAGGGUUUACUCUGGUUUCUGGUUUCGUGCUUUUUGUUUGAUAUAAACAAAUUUAUACUAUAUAUAUUCCUUCUCCACUCCCUUAAUUCAACUGGAGUUAAGAGUUAAAAUAUAGUUUUAAAUUAUUUUUUAUUUUCGAAUUAAAUAUAAUAAGUUGUUUUUACAAAAAAAAAAAUACAAACGAGUUUAAAAAAAUUUUAUUAAUAUUAUUUAUAAUAAUUACUAGAUAAUUGUUGGUCAUGCUUAAGUAAUUAAAUACGAUACUAAUAUAUUUUAUACUUAUUUAAAUUUAUUUUGAUCUGAAAUAUAUGUUUAAAAUUUCGUUUAAGUCACAUAUUGUUUGUAUUCCUCCUCAUCCUUCUUUGGGUACAAACAAUAUUAUUUGGGCACGCACGAUUUUAGGUUUUUUUAUCCAUAACGCCUUUUGGUUUUUUUUAAAAAGUUUUUGGAACCCAUAGUUGAAAAUUUCAAGGGCCACAAAGAGUUAAAUUUUUUCUUUAACUAGCCUUCAAACAAAGACUUUGUCUAAUAUGGAGUGAACUAGGAGGAACUGAUCAUAAUAUCUCACGUCUUGUUUGUGGCCAUGAAAUAGAAGACAUGCUCCAUGUGCUUCAAGAUUGUUCGACAACAAAGGAAGUUUGGUUAUAGGUAAUAUCUUUUGAUAGACAACAAUGUUUCUUCUCUAGGUCUCUUCCGGAAUGGUUGACUUUAAAUCUUGUCUAUCACGUCCAAUUACCUAGUAAGGGGUAAUUUGUCCUUGUUUAUUCGGUUUGAUUGCGUGGCGCAUUUGGAAGAAUAGGGACCUAUUCAUCUUUCAAGACAUCACUUUGAUGACUUUUGAUACUAUCAAAGUCUAGUUCAGUUAGGUACAACAGUUUGAGUUAAGUCACAAAGGCCAUCAGGUGGACAUACUUGUCCACUAACGAAGCAGUAGGUAGUGGUGAUGGCAAUGCUUCCGUUAGAGGUGUUCCACAGGACCAACAUGAGAACUGGAUAUUGGGAUUUAAUCACUACUUAGGGCGAUGGUCAGUUUUUAAGGCUGAGUUACGGUGAAUUUUAGAUGGCCUAUUAGUAUUGCUUAGCAAAGGAUUCAGAAAGGCCGCGAUUCAGUCUAAGGUGGUUAAGUUGGUUAACAAGUUCUGGUAUUACAAUGUUUAAAAGGAUCCCGAGAAUUUUAUGAGCUAAAGGACAAUAGAGCAUUAGACACGUGCUUAGAGAACCCAAUCAUGCUGCUGAUUAUUUGACUAACAUGAAUUUACUCAAGCCUUCAUGUCUUUGAUGUUACCCCAAAUGAAAUUCUAUAGAUUAUACAACCAGACAAGAAAGUUUUUGUUAAUCUCGUGUUGAUGUAGUUCAGUUUUUUAUUUAAACACUAAAAAACAAAUUUCGUUUAAGUGUACCCAUAUUUGUAACAUAUUUGUAAAUGGAUCAUUAUUAUCUUUAAGAGAGAGAUCCACUUACAUAUUAUUAUUUUUAAUAACACAUUUAAAUCCAAAGUUCUCAAAUCUCAACACAACGCUAUACUUUUAAUAACUCGGUACAAGCAUUUAAAAAAUUUCUUGACAUAAGUUGAAAGAGCAGAAUACAAUUUGGAUUUAGAUAAUGAUUUAUCAGUCUUGUUCCUACUCAAAAACUAAAAUCACUGUUAAAUUUGUCUGAAAGAAAUAAACAAUCAGCAAAUAGCUCAAAAUUGCAUAUAAAUUCAAGAGCUUCCUCGUCCAACUUAACGUGCAGGCUGCGCUUGUGCGGGUUCGAGAAGCUGGCCGACUAGCUUGUAGGUCCGCCCUUGAAGGGCCUUAGUGUGGUCGAUUAGCUGCUCGUAACUGCAGAAAUCCAGUAUCGAAAUUGGAAGUCAUUAAGAGAAGAGGAACAAACAAAUGUAGUUAUGGAAGGAACAUAGUAUGAAAGAUGCACAAUACAAAGAACAAGGAGAUCUUACACAUUAGGUUGAUUAGGCUCCAUAAUAACAGUUCCAGUCUCUGAAUCAAUCUUUGCAUCAAGUUUCGAGUUUCGAAUGAGAUUCACAAUCCACCUCUCACCCUCCUCGUAAUUUAAGUUCAGUUUCUCAAAAAGCACCCUUGAAACACAUACAAAAUCAUUUAAUGUAGGAUCAAAAUCUAAAACAAGCAAUUAAAACAACAUAAUCUCAUAAGUAAAAGCAUAUCUUGAAAGAGUUAAGAAGACCAAUGGGAAGUAAUCACUAUAAUAAGAGAUACUCAAGUCCAUGUUACUCAGAUUUGGGUGAGUUUCAGAUACCGGUAUGUUUAAUUGUUUUCUAAGUUUUUCCAUGUAUUGAAGGAUCAUAUCUUCAUAACCGCAAGACAAAUACUUCAAGAAAAAUGAACAGUCAGGAAAUGCAUAGAUAAUAGCAAACCAAAGGUUUAUGUUGUGAUGUUUUGUGAUCUGUGCACGUGCCUCUGUGCAGAUGAAAACAUGCAUUACAUCUGUUUUGAUUUAAUAUUUUGUACAAAAUUUCAUCAAUCCUUAACAUGCAAUUAGCCAAAAAAAAUUCAUAACUCAGUGCAAUGUUAUGGGAAACCCACCAUGCAAAGCAGACUGUGAGCCUAUCGACAAUUUAACAUUCAAAUGGAAGUCAUUCCGUGUCAUUUACUCAUAAGAAGAAGUCAAUUAUACACAUAAGAAGCUAAUUAUAUAAGUUUGACAAAGCAGGAACUUACCCCAUAUCAAUGCGCUGAUGAAUUCUGCAGUAUGUCUCGAAGAUAAAUAAACGAGCAUUCUCAAGAAACUCAUCUUUUAAUGGGACAGUAGAAAAGUUGCCCUCUUCAACUCUUUUUCCAAGGAAGGGAUCAUUCAGUAUCACCUACAACAAAGACAGGAAAACUAAGGGUGUAAUAGAUAGAGCCUACAAUUCCAAUAUCAAACAAAAAGCUAAAGGCAACCAAAACAGAUGACAAAACUUCAAGCUAAAACAUUGCACAAAUUUAUGGUAUAAGAUAGUACAAUCUAACUUACUUCUUCGCACUCCUUCAUCUUCUUCUGUGCUCCGUCAAAUUCAUAGUUGACAUAAACACAUGCCAAAAACUCCGUGAUGGGAUCUUUGUAAGAGCAUUGAUCUUGCUGGAUAACCUUGAUAAAUUCUUUGAAUUGAGGUCUUCUCCUUUUGUUAACAAUAAAAGCAGUGGCUAAGUACCUUAGAAGAUGGGGAGCACUGGUUUGAAUGGCGUUUAGAUACCUGGAAAGAAGUGAAAUCACCUCGUAAGAUGAGUCAAAUACACAAAGUUGGAUAAUAUAAACCCAGAGAAAAUAAUGCGUUAACCAAUGAAAAAAAGCAGUAAAAACAUCUAAAUUCAAACACAAUUUUAUGUUUAGUUCCAACAACAAUCUCCCUUAUGAAACAAAAUUCCAAAAUAAGCAGUAUGGCAAACAUAUCACCUACUUUAGCCUCAAAACUUUGAACAAACAUUUUGCAAAUUACAUGGCAGGCUGUGCGUUAACUUUUCAUAUUAGAAAAACCAUGCAAAUGAUAAAAGAUAUCCACAAAGUUUCUAAACAUGUUCCAUUCCAACACAAUCAAAACCGAAGCAUGUGAACACAGCAGGAUCUUGAAACAGAAGUAAGUCAUGGCAUAAAAAGACAGGAAAAUGCACAAAGAACAAAUAAGCACAGAUGUGACUACCACACAAAUGAUGCAACUAACAACAUCAGUAACAAGACAUGGAAACCUUAAGUUUAGUUGUUAAAGUGACAUACUUGUCUUGAUUAAAUAGGUCGAUGAUCUGUGUUCUUCCAUUGUCAUGGUUGAAAAAGAUGAAGAGGCUCCAAUGCAUAAGCCAUAUUCUACUCUGAACUUGGUUCAAAGGUGAUGAGAAGCUCUGCAGCAAAAAGACCAAUAAAUGAGUCAACGAAUAAUCGGAAAGCAAAUUGUCAAAACAAAAACCGAAUAAUCAACGGGGAUAUAACCAAAACCUUGGAAUCGAUUAUUUCUUUCAAACGAUUAAGUUCUUCAAGAGCAAUAUCCCAGUUUUGCAUCAGUAUCUCGGCAGCAAGCUUCCCCCACAAUGCACUCAAGCUCCUUUCGCUGUUAGUACAUAAAGCCCGAUACUGAUACAGAUAGUCAGCAGCACCAGAGUAGUUGCCACACUCAAAUUGGAAUUUUGCAUACUGAUAUAAUGCCUCUAUUUGAUCUGGACCAAUCUGUUAAAAAUAUAAUUUUAUCCACCAUUAAAUUAAAAAAAACUUUAAUUAAUUCAAACCCAGGCAAAAUCAAAACUUUAACAACAAAGAGCAUGCUAGAAUUUUAGCACAAGAAAGCCUAUGCAUCUAUUUGGUUAUUCUUUAUAUUUUCCUUAAAAAUCACAUAAUGUUAUGACCAAUACAAAUUCACACUUGAAUGGGUUAUUCACUAAAAAUCAAGAAGGGGUUAAAAUAACAUAAAAAUAACCUUAAAUUCAUCAAAAAGGGGGGGGGGGGAACAGACCUGGUAGCGGUCAUUAAGCAUCUGGAGAUUAUACUGUUUAUCAGCACGCAGUUCCUGAACAGCGUUAGGGUUUUGCAAGAAAGUGACGAGAGGAGCAGCGGCAUCUUCCAAAGCUUUGAGACGAGCGACAACCUCGACUCUCCUAUCGACCAUGUCCUGAGGAACAUCAUCGGUGCGGUAAAGGCUCUUAUGGAUAUCCAUAGCGUAAUCGACCAUGUUUGUCUUGUUCAAAAGCUCAAUCUUUGCUUUCAAGAUCUGUUCAUCUGGGUAUAGUUGUCGCUCUUGCAAGAACUCCAGCAAUGGAAACACUAAG
rnacentral:lncRNA from 1 species